rfam:Capsicum annuum cultivar Zunla-1 chromosome 6, whole genome shotgun sequence
UUAUGAUGGUGAGGGCAAUUUUUUAGCAUACCCUCAAACCUUUUCCAAUCUUGGUAAAGAUUUUCUCUUUCUUUUUGCCUAAAUCUCAGAAUCUCGCUUCUCAAACG